rnacentral:lncRNA from 1 species
GAUGCCCCACUUGCACUAUCAUUUUCCAUGUUCUAUGGACCGUGAAAUUGUAUAAAAAAUCUAAUUUGGCAUUAAAAUUAUAAAGAUCAUACCAUAGGGAACAUGUGUACAAUGUUUCAAGUUGAUUGGACUUCAACUUCAUCAAAAACUACCUUGACCAAAAACUUUAACCUGAAACUGGCACUUCCAUUUUUUAUGUUCAGUGGACCGUGAGAUU